rnacentral:rRNA from 1 species
UACGUAGGGUGCGAGCGUUAAUCGGAAUUACUGGGCGUAAAGCGUGCGCAGGCGGUUCUGAAAGUCAGCUGUGAAAGCCCCGGGCUUAACCUGGGAACUGCGGUUGAAACUACAGGACUAGAAUCUGGCAGAGGGGGGUGGAAUUCCACGUGUAGCAGUGAAAUGCGUAGAGAUGUGGAGGAACACCGGUGGCGAAGGCGGCCCCCUGGUUGGAUACUGACGCUGAGACGCGAAAGCGUGGGGAGCAAACAGG